rnacentral:tRNA from 1 species
GCCCAGAUGGCGGAAUUGGUAGACGCGCCAGCUUCAGGUGCUGGUCUACGUAAGUAGGUGGGAGUUCAAGUCUCCCUCUGGGCACCA